UACAGAGGUCUCAAGCGUUGUUCGGAUUCAUUGGGCGUAAAGGGUGCGCAGGCUGUGUGGUUAGUCAGGUGUGAAAUUUAGAGGCUCAACCUCUAAACUGCACUUGAUACUGCCAUGCUAGAGGACUGUAGAGGAGAUUGGAAUUCACGGUGUAGCAGUGAAAUGCGUAGAUAUCGUGAGGAAGACCGGUGGCGAAGGCGAAUCUCUGGGCAGUUCCUGACGCUCAUGCACGAAGGCUAGGGGAGCAAACGGG
rnacentral:rRNA from 1 species